rnacentral:rRNA from 1 species
CCAAUAGCGUAUAUUAAAGUUGUUGCAGUUAAAAAGCUCGUAGUUGAAUUUCGGGGUCAGUAGGUCGGUCGUGCCACUGGUAUGAACUGGUUUUACUGAUUCCUCCCUCUUGAAGAACUGUAAUGCCAUUAAUUUGGUGUUGCAGGGAAUCAGGACUGUUACUUUGAAAAAAUUAGAGUGUUUAAAGCAGGCUUUAGCUUGAAUACAUUAGCAUGGAAUAAUGAAAUAGGACGUUUGAUCCUAUUUUGUUGGUUUCUAGGAUUGACGUAAUGAUUAAUAGGGAUAGUUGGGGGCAUUAGUAUUCAAUUGUCAGAGGUGAAAUUCUUGGAUUUAUUGAAGACUAACUACUGCGAAAGCAUUUGCCAAGGAUGUUUUCAUUAAUCAAGAACGAAAGUUAGGGGAUCGAAGACGAUCAGAUACCGUCGUAGUCUUAACCAUAAGCUAUGCCGACUAGGGAUCGGAUGAUGUUAAUUUUUUAAUGACUCAUUCGGCGCCUUACG